CCCUUAGAUGUUCUGGGCCGCACGCGCGCUACACUGACGAAUGCAACGAGCUUAUAACCUUGGCCGCAAGGUCUGGGUAAUCUCCAAAUUUCGUCGUGAUGGGGAUAGAUUAUUGCAAUUAUUAAUCUUCAACGAGGAAUGCCUAGUAAGCGCAAGUCAUCAGCUUGCGUUGAUUACGUCCCUGCCCUUUGUACACACCGCCCGUCGCUCCUACCGAUUGAAUGGUCCGGUGAAGCGUUCGGACCGUGGCCUUUGGACGGUUCGCCGUCUGUUGGCUGCGGGAAGUUCGUUAAACCUUAUCAUUUAGAGGAAGGAGAAGUCGUAACA
rnacentral:rRNA from 1 species